rnacentral:rRNA from 1 species
UACGUAGGGUGCAAGCGUUAAUCGGAAUUACUGGGCGUAAAGCGUGCGCAGGCGGUUCUAUAAGACAGAUGUGAAAUCCCCGGGCUCAACCUGGGAACUGCAUUUGUGACUGUAGAGCUGGAGUGCGGCAGAGGGGGAUGGAAUUCCGCGUGUAGCAGUGAAAUGCGUAGAUAUGCGGAGGAACACCGAUGGCGAAGGCAGGUCUCUGGGCUGACACUGACGCUCAUGCACGAAAGCGUGGGGAGCAAACAGG